rnacentral:other from 1 species
UGGCCCCUGCCGUGUUUGUGAUUGGAAGAUGUUCUUUGACCCAACAUUUCAAUUAAAGGGAGCCUUCUCUGAUUUUGGUGUGCAUGUUCUGCAUGUGCAGAAAAGCCUGAAAAAAUUAAAGGGCGCCCACCUAUUUUUUAUGGAUCAAAGACCUCCCAACACGGCAUUGUGGCAGGGGUCCU